CCUACGGGAGGCAGCAGUGGGGAAUAUUGGGCAAUGGAGGAAACUCUGACCCAGCAACGCCGCGUGAAGGAUGAAGGUUUUCGGAUUGUAAACUUCUGUCGCGAGGGAAGAAGAAAGACGGUACCUGACCAAGAAGCCCCGGCUAACUACGUGCCAGCAGCCGCGGUAAUACGUAGGGGGCAAGCGUUAUCCGGAUUUACUGGGUGUAAAGGGAGCGUAGACGGCAGGGCAAGUCUGGAGUGAAAGGCAGGGGCCCAACCCCUGGACUGCGCUGGAAACUGUCCGGCUGGAGUGCAGGAGAGGUAAGUGGAAUUCCUAGUGUAGCGGUGAAAUGCGUAGAUAUUAGGAGGAACACCAGUGGCGAAGGCGGCUUACUGGACUGUAACUGACGUGGAGGCUCGAAAGCGUGGGGAGCAAACAGGAUUAGAUACCCGAGUAGUC
rnacentral:rRNA from 1 species